GCCCCAAUCCAAAGCCCAUUUCCAUUUUUAAAGAAAUCUUUGGAAAUUAUUCAACAUCUUUUCAUCAAUGUACCUAUUUUCAAGGCUGCACUUAUUCUUCGGCUUCCUGUCACUCUCUGCCUUGUCUAUGCAGCCUUCACUUCAGCGACGAUUUUAGCUCUAAUCUACAUGAAAAUACAGAGUGUAAGAAAAUCUGUUGACUGUCAUGAAAAUGAUCACACCGUCUCCUCACCCAGCGCCACUCUUGGAGCACUGACAUCCAACUUCACAAGUUCUCUUUUAAGCAGGAGGCCCAGUUUGGAGAGGAUGUAG
ensembl:lincRNA